rnacentral:rRNA from 1 species
AGGCAGCAGUGGGGAAUAUUGGACAAUGGGCGCAAGCCUGAUCCAGCCAUACCGCGUGGGUGAAGAAGGCCUUCGGGUUGUGAAGCCCUUUUGUUGGGAAAGAAAUCCAGCCGGUUAAUACCUGGUUGGGAUGACGGUACCCAAAGAAUAAGCACCGGCUAACUUCGUGCCAGCAGCCGCGGUAAUACGUAGGGCGCAAGCGUUGUCCGGAAUUAUUGGGCGUAAAGAGCUCGUAGGCGGCUUGUCACGUCGGUUGUGAAAGCCCGGGGCUUAACCCCGGGCCUGCAUUCGAUACUGGCAGGCUUGAGUUCGGUAGGGGAGAUCGGAAUUCCUGGUGUAGCGGGUGAAAUGCGCAGAUAUGUGGAGGAACACCGGGGGCGAAGGCGGAUCUCUGGGGCCGAUACUGACGCUGAGGAGCGAAAGCGGGGGGAGCGAACAGGAUUAAAUACCCGGGUAGUCCACGCCGUAACCGGUGGGCACUAGGGGUGGGCAACAUUCCACGUUGUCCGUGCCGCAGCUAACGCAUUAAGUGCCCCGCCUGGGGAGUACGGCCGCGGGCUAAAACUCAAAUGAAUUGACGG